ensembl:snRNA U6 U6 spliceosomal RNA
AUGUUUGCUUCUGCAGUCUAUGUACUAUAAUUGGAAGGUUACAGAGGUUACAGCCUGACUCCUGCACAAGAAUGAGGCACAAAUUCAUAAAGCAUUCCAUACUUUU